AGAGUGAACGCUGGCGGUAGGCCUAACACAUGCAAGUCGAACGGCAGCACAGUAGGAGCUUGCUCUUACGGGUGGCGAGUGGCGGACGGGUGAGGAAUACAUCGGAAUCUACCUUUUGGUGGGGGAUAACGUAGGGAAACUUACGCUAAUACCGCAUACGCCCUUCGGGGGAAAGCCGGGGACCAGCAAUGGCCUGGCGCUGAUAGAUGAGCCGAUGUCGGAUUAGCUAGUUGGUGAGGUAAUGGCUCACCAAGGCGACGAUCCGUAGCUGGUCUGAGAGGAUGAUCAGCCACACUGGAACUGAGACACGGUCCAGACUCCGUACGGGAGCAGCAGGUGGGGAAUAGUUGGACAAGUGGGGCGCGAACGCCUAGGACU
rnacentral:rRNA from 1 species